CACGUAGGGCGCAAGCGUUGUCCGGAAUUAUUGGGCGUAAAGAGCUCGUAGGCGGUCUGUUGCGUCCGCUGUGAAAACUCGGGGCUUAACCCCGAGCCUGCAGUGGAUACGGGCAGACUAGAGGUAGGUAGGGGAGAAUGGAAUUCCCGGUGUAGCGGUGAAAUGCGCAGAUAUUAGGAAGAACACCGGUGGCGAAGGCGGCUCUCUGGAACGGUACUGACGCUGAGACGCGAAAGCGUGGGGAGCGAACAGG
rnacentral:rRNA from 1 species